GGCAGAGAGUAUAAUAAAUCUCACCCUAGAGAUCCUCCUCUGGCUUACUGGAGAGGAAUACACAGUAAUGAAGAAGACCUCUAGGGAGCAUUGUCAGGCCCCGGUAUCUGAAGGACGAGGAGGAAUCCUGAGCCCAAUAUCCAGGCCAACACCUCACAUCCCGAUACAUGAGAACAUCAACAGAGAGAAGAUCCUAGAGCUCACCAACAAGAUCAUUGAGCUGCUGACUGGAGAGGUUCCUAUAAGGUGUCAGGAUGUCGCCGUCUAUUUCUCCAUGGAGGAGUCUG